UCUAUUAUCCCCCUGGCCUAUAAAGAGUACACAUAGAUCGGAUCUGAUCUAAUCUGAUCUCGAUUGCUCGCACACAUACGAAGAGACGGUUAGAUCGAUCGGCCGAAUUUCGAUAUGGGAUCCUUCUUCUCUUCUCCUGUGGCCGUGGAGGAGCAGGUCCCCAAAGCUCAUGAAUGGGGCCUGCAAGGUUGCACGACUGAAGAACUCAUAGACAUCCUCCGCCGAGAGUUCAAGUGUCCUCCAGAUGCGGUGAUGAUGAGGCCCCCCUGCCCAUGUGCGGGUUUCUGCAACCAGAUUUCUCGUAACACCUCAUCGUCGUCAUCUCAUUUUCCUUCUGAGAUUGGACCUGUCGCCAUAGCUGCGCUUCGAUCAAUGUCGAAGCCACCCACUAAACUGAACGUCGUUCAAUCCGUAGAUUUGGUGUAAUUUUCUGGAUCAUUUGUUAGAGAUAUAUGUACCUACUCGGCUACUCCCUCUGAUAUAUUCGAGAACAUUCAUUUUGUACUUUUUUUUAAACUUGGUUCAUAUAUAGGUUUAAAACAACAAGUUUGUACAUGAGCACAAAUUACAAACGGAAGGAUUUGAGGCCAUUGAUUGACGAAGAAAAAAGAAUCUUGAACAUGAAGCUCAAGAAAGGCAAAGGCUAUGACCACCCCACCGAUGGUGCUGUUGUCCAAGGUGUGUGUGUGGCAAGGACAACAUAGUGACAGAUCAAUACCAAAGGACUCACAUUUGACAAUUCGUAACAUAGCCCGAAAGCAUAUCGAAGAAUUUUCCAGCUAAACCUAGAGAUAUGGAACCCGUACCAAAAAAGCGAAAUUCAUAAGAUAUAAUUGGAUAUAAUUGCCUCCUAGAUCA